rnacentral:rRNA from 1 species
CGGGAAGAAUAAGUAAGAGCUAACAUCUCUUACGAUGACGGUACUGUUUGUAAGCUCCGGCUAACUCCGUGCCAGCAGCCGCGGUAAUACGGGGGGAGCAAGCGUUGUUCGGAUUUACUGGGCGUAAAGGGCGCGUAGGCGGCCACCGCAAGUCGACUGUGAAAUCUCCGGGCUUAACCCGGAAAGGUCAGCCGAUACUGCGGGGCUAGAGUGCAGAAGGGGCAACUGGAAUUCUCGGUGUAGCGGUGAAAUGCGUAGAUAUCGAGAGGAACACCUGCGGCGAAGGCGGGUUGCUGGGCUGACACUGACGCUGAGGCGCGAAAGCUAGGGGAGCGAACGGGAUUAGAUACCCCGGUAGUCCUAGCCUUAAACGAUGAAUGCUUGGUGUCUGGGGUUUUAUAGUCCCCGGGUGCCGUCGCUAACGCUUUAAGCAUUCCGCCUGGGGAGUACGGUCGCAAGACUGAAACUCAAAGGAAUUGACGGGGACCCGCACAAGCGGUGGAGCAUGUGGUUUAAUUCGACGCAACGCGAAGAACCUUACCUGGGCUAGAAUGCCUCUGACCGGCGUAGAGAUACGCCUUCCUGGGUAAACCAGGCAGAGUGCAAGGUGCUGCAUGGCU